rnacentral:sRNA from 1 species
ACUAAGGUUCGAUUCGAGCGAAAGCGAGAGAACGUUGCCACAGGCAACGGCCCGAAGAGUGAGGAGCGAAGCGACGAAUAAUCCUUCCCCCACCACCA